UACGGGGGGGGGCAAGCGUUGUUCGGAAUUACUGGGCGUAAAGGGCUCGUAGGCGGCCAACUAAGUCAGACGUGAAAUCCCUCGGCUUAACCGGGGAACUGCGUCUGAUACUGGAUGGCUUGAGUUUGGGAGAGGGAUGCGGAAUUCCAGGUGUAGCGGUGAAAUGCGUAGAUAUCUGGAGGAACACCGGUGGCGAAGGCGGCAUCCUGGACCAACACUGACGCUGAGUGAGCGAAAGCCAGGGGAGCAAAGCAGG
rnacentral:rRNA from 1 species